rnacentral:rRNA from 1 species
AUGCAUAAAAGAGAAUCCUAUGAAGCUAACGUUAAUUACAAUCGUAUGCAAGCUUUUAAUAAUUAUGUAAACCAGUGUGGCUUGUUCGAUCUGGGCUUUUCUGGACCUGCUUACACUUGGACCAACAUGAGAUUUUCUUCUAGUCCUAUUUUUGAACGUCUCGAUCUCUGUCUUGCUAAUGCUGAAUGGUGCGCUUUGUUCCUCACAACAAAUGUUUUCAACAUGCCCAUUAUUCAUAGUUUUAGCGAUCAUGCACAUAUCUUACUUUCAACUGAGUCUAAGUUUAAAAGGCCCUGGCUCACCUUCAAAUUUGAAAAUUGGUGGCUUUUUGUGGGAGAUUAUCAAUCUGUUGCAAAGAAUGAUUGGGCUUCUACUACCACAAAACCUUUCCAUGUACGCACUAACCAUCUUGUAGGUACUCUCAAAGUGUGGUGCAAAAAGUCAAAGGCCACUUCAGCAGCAACUUGA